AAUAAAUGGAAGGUAGAAUUUAUAAUUGGAAGAGAAGCAAAACUUAAAGAUUUGGAAAAUCCUCAAUGUGGCUGUGUUCUAAAGCCUGAAAAAGCAGCCCAGGAGAAAACACCAGGCUGUGGUAAGUAAUUGUUUGACAAGGAGAUAUGAUUGAGUCAAUUUUUUUUUUUUUGCUGCUGUGAUAAAAGGAUGGAACCAGAACAACUGUUAGAGGAGAAAAGGUUUAUUUAGGGGCUCACAGUUUCAGAGGUCUCAAUCCAUAGGCAGCAGGCUCAAUUCCUCAGGGCUCGAAGUGAGACAGAACAUCACAGUAAAAGAGUGUGGCAGAGGGAACCAGCUCAUAUGAUAAUCAGGAAGCAGAAAGAGACUCUACUCUCCAAAUACAAAAUAUAUACGCCAUAAUCAUGCCCCCAAUGAACCACUUCUUCCAUCCACACCCCACCUGCCUCCAGUUACCACUCAGUUAAUCCCAUAAAGGAUUAAUUUACUGAUUAAGUUAAGGCUAUAACCCAAUCAUUUCUCCUCCAAACCUUCUUGCGUUUUCUCACACGUGGCUUUGGGGGUCAUCUCACAUCCAAACCAUAAGAGUAUAGUUAUGCAGACACCAGGUGCUAUCUACCCUGACAAUGGAUUAAUGCUGUCCCUCUCAUCACAGGUCCAGAAUGCUAAGGCCUAGGGACAGAAGAUGUCAAAAGAGGGCCCUCAGGUAUUCCUGGAACCUUGGUGCCAGGACAUCUCAAGUCUCCCAUUUCCUCUAUUCUGGUGCAGUGCUCCUCAGCAAUCAGGUGUGGUUUAAGUGGGCUAAGGUUUGAGUUGGUCACCCCUCUGGUAAGCACAGAUGAUAAACAUUGUUGAUGCCCAUGAAGUACCACCUUCAUCAAGGUGCCGAGUACAUGAGCUUUGACAGCAUGGUUACCUGCACCUGGAUUUCAAAGGAUGCCCCAGAGAACCUCAGCCCAGGCAGAGAACUGCCACAGGGGCAGAAUUAUCACAGACAGCUCUCAGGUCAAUGUCCAGUGGAGCUAUAAGGGUGAGAGCUACCAUACAGAGUGAUGCCUAGCAGAGCUGUGGGGACAGGGCUCACCUCUAUGACUGUAGACCGGUAAGCCAUCGAGAAGCAGUUCCAGUCUGGGAGAGCCACAGUCGAAAGACCCAGUAUUGUAGAGCUGCUCUGUGGGUUUCUCUCAGCAAAGCCAUGAGGGCAGUGUGUGUGGAAUGUGGAACAAUGAGGCAAGAUUAUCCUGGAGCUGUAAGAUUUAAUGUUUGCCCUAUUAUAUUUGGGGUUUAGUUGGAACCUAUUAUCUCUUCUUUCUUACUUCCUUUUGGAAAGGAAAUCCCUGCCCUGUGCCUGUUCUACCAUUAUAUUGGAAACACAUAACUAGUUUGACUUCAGAGUCCCAAUGAUGAAGGGGCAUUUGCUUCAGGAUGAAUCAUACUUUUAAGUCUUAUAUCUAUCCAAUUUAGAUGAGACUUUAGAUUUUGAGUUGGUGCUGGAACUUUUGAGUUAGCUUUGGGGAUACAGGAAUGGAAUGAAUGUAUUUUGCAUGUGAGGACACAAAUUUGGAGAAGUCAAGGGAAAAAUUCUAUGAUAUGAAAGUGGGCAUCCCCUUAAAAUUCAUAUGUUGAAGCCUGACCCCCAGGAUGAUGAUACUGAGGGGUAAAGCCUCUAAAGGGAAUGAUGGGAUUAGUGCCUUAUAAGAGGAUAAAGGGAGCUGCUUUGCUCUUCCACCACGUGGUAGCAAUAUGAUGCCAUUUAUUAAACACACAGCAAGUUCUUAUCAGACAUCAAAUGAAGAAAGAAAAGCAUCAAGCUGCUGAAGAGAAUAGAAUUUCUUUUCCCUGAUUAGUAAUUUUAUCUGUCACAGGUGAACUUUUGUUCUCUUUUAAUCUUUGUUUCCUGCCUUCUCGUGUUGCUUGGUAGUUCUUAACUAUCCUUCCUCCUAACAAGUCACAUUCUCCCAGUAUUAUAGACUUGAUCCCCUGCAUCUUGGGAAUCUGCAGGUCUGGCACCAGCUGAACUCCCUUGUUUUUAUAUUCAGCUUGUAAUAAGGCUGCUUCCAUGUUGUUGAGGGUUUCUUUCCCAAUAACUUCAAUGUUAAUCCUGUGCGAGGCAGUCAGAUUCUUGUUGCUUGUCCUCUGCUGAUUUGGAUCCUUUGUUGUGUUGAUACCCUUCCAUGGGCAGAGUCCCGCCUGGUGGUGCAAAGAAGUGGGAAAUUUUAGAAAAUCUAUUCUAUUGGAUGUUGAACAGUCUCCUGUCUUCAUAAAAAUUCAGUUUGGCUUUUGUGUUUUCUUAUUCAUACUCUCAGAAAUUUCGUUCUAUUUUUUCUUUUACAUGUCUCACUCAUUCUUUCAUUCAUCAAAUAUUUAAUGACCACUAAAUGCAAGGUGCUAUUCUGGAAUGCAGAAAUACAGACGUGAACAAGGUAUAAUUUUUGCCCUUGAGGCAGUUAUAAUCUAUAGUAGUUUGGUCCAACAGCACAUUCUCUGAUGGUAGAAGUCGUCUAUAUACAUAUUGCCCAAUAUGCUUGCUAUACAUAGCUACUGGACAUUUAAAAUGUGGUUAGUAUAAGUGAGGAACCAAGUUUUAAAUUUUAUUUAUUUUUAAUUAAUUGAAUUUAGCCACAUGUAGCUAGUGGCUAUUGGAUGGAGCAUAAAAGGGAGAGACAAAUAAAGAAGAUUUUUACAAUAUUAUAUGUUACAUUUUAAAUAAAAUGGUUGGUUUUACCAUUAAAUAGAUUUGGGGUUAGUUAGAAAGACCGAGGUAUUAAUCUCUACCUAUGUAAACUAGUUGGAAUCCUAUUGAGAAGAAGGCCACAGAAAUGGAAUACAAGAAAAGUAGGAAAAUGUCACAUAGAUGAAGCAUGGUGAGAGGAGGCAAGGAGAAGAAUUGAGGGCCUUGGAUGUUGGAAACUUGCAUAAAUCAUUGGAAAUAUUAAUUGAUGUGUCUUCAUCCCCCACUUCCCACCCUUACAUUUUGACAUUUCCAUUUUUCUUUGUUGUUGUUCUUCCACCCAAAGGAGGCCAGUCAAUGUCCUUUGCCUCAGAAGAAGUUGGCAAGUCAAAAAGAGAAAAACGAAAGAAUCUUUUCCCAGCCUUUGAGUUACAGAAAAUCUAAUGGCCAAUAUGCAUUCCACAAGUCACAAAUAAGUGUGGAUUAUUUGGUUAACACCUUAUUGUUAGUGGGUUUUUUUUUUUUUUUUUUUUUUUUCAAAUUGAGGUCUUGCUGUGUUGCUUAAGCUCUCCUUGAACUUCUGGACUCAAACAAUCCUCCUGCCUCAGCCUCCUCAGUAGCUUCAACUACAGGUAUGUAACCACACCCUGCAGUGCUAUUUUUUUUUUUUAAUGCAAUUCAUUUGAAUGCCUUUAGACUGGGAAGGUACUCUUUAGUUCAUACUAGUCCUGUAUUUCAUUCGUCCCUGGAAGCUAGAGAUGUAGAGAUUUACUUUACAAGCCUGGCCCCUAUAGGUAUGUGAAUUUGGUGUUCCUUAUAAAGCAGGUUUAGAAGAAGGCAUAAUGAUGCAUGAGCAGGGUUUCCUAGCACCAAGUCUUUCAGCAUUGUAGAAGAGAAGUUGCAGGAAAAUUACUUGGACUUUGGGGAAAACAAGGUACCCUGCUUUAAAUUUUGUUGUUACAUCUGUCACCCAGAGGAAUGAGGACUUAAGACAGAAGUUAUUUUGAAUCUAGAAAAACAGAAAAAAUUACAUUUUGUGCACACAUGGAUUUGUGGACUAUAAUUUAAUUUCUCUUUUCCAUUAUUUAUCCUGUCAAACUAUAAGUAUCAGGAUGCAACUGAGUGGUAGUACUUAAAAAUUCAUUUUUAAGAAUGCAAAUAUUCCUUUUUCAAUUAUAUUAAUAGAAUUUAUUUAGUUCAUUAUUUCCCAGAGCUUAAAUAAAAUUCAUGUGAAGUAAUUCAAAAAGGAAAGACAAAAUUUUCAACCUACUAUAUUCUUCUCCAUGGAUACAAUGCUCACUAAUCAAGGGUGACCCCCAUCUUGGAUGCAAAACUAAGAAUGGGCUCUAUCAAUUGAACAUGGUGCUUUAGCAUAAUGCCUUAAGGGGAUGAUGCUGAAGAGUGGUUAUGGUAAGCAAUUUAAAUUAACCAUGAAAACAAAUUUAUAUUGAAUCAAUACAUUAUACAGAAGUUUUGAGGAAAAGAAUAAUAGCCAAAAGAAUGUGAAUGAAUUAUGGGUUCCUAAUGAUCUCAUGUUUUUGGGGAAAAGGAAACAGCAGAUAUUGAGGCUUAUAGGAGGGAUUAACUCAGAAUGGAAAAUACCUACAAAGCACUGAAAUGUUGCUAAGGAUUCAAGAUUUUUUUUUUAAUAUUAUAUCUUACAUCUUCCUAACAUGAAUGAAAGACCAAGAAGUUUGAAUUAAUGCCACCUUCUCUUAAGAACUUCCACAAUAUUGAAGUAAAAUAUUCAUAAUAUUCUAUUUAUUCAAAAUUAUUCCAAUGACCAAGAGUUUAUGUUUAUGUAAAAUUGUUAGUAAUACUGUUGUUGAUAGGGGAUCGGGUGGAAGGAGUGUUUCCUUUGCAUAAAAUCACUUUUUUAAGGUUCAUAAAGGCAUUUUUCCCCGUUGACCAUCUCCUACUUCCAGUGACCCACUUUCUACAGUAGAAAAUUAGAAGUCAAGGCUCCUGUUUCUUUUCCUGCCCUAUCAGAGUCAGUUGAUUUUCUGUAGAAGUUUUUCUGCUUGUAAAUCUAAACCUCAAAGCCUUUAGUUUGCAUUUCACCUAAAAUAAAAUCAAUGACCCUUUGGAGAAUCAAGCUUUAAUGAGGGGACACCUAUUACUAUAAUUUCUUUGAAGAUAUUGUUGAAAAAUGGUGCCCACAUGUGUUUAAGUAUGAUAGGCGAAAUUUCCCUUUUGGAAAGACCUCACUUUUUCUUUUCUUCUAAGGAACAGAUAACUUUUCCUUUGAGAGCAAUUAGAACAACAGAAGGAUGACUGCCCUGUUUCCUUUAACUAUCCAUCCUUUAGUGCCAAACUUACAGUCCACCAAAUGGUCUUCUUUUCAUGUUCCAAGUUUUCUUUGAUCUGUGUCUGUGAUUCUAGUUCAUAUGUCCCCAGGUUCUACUUUAUGUUUAUUUUACUCUUCAUCUGUUAUCUGUAAGCAAGUUUAAAUCCUUUGUGAAAUGACAUAUAGAGGGAGGGAGGUAGAACAGAGGGAAAAUGAAAGGCAGAAAAUAAAAGGAGGAAAGAACUAAAAUUUUCUUUAUAAUGGAGUAGAGUUUGAAAUGACUGAUCAAAUAUAUAUUGAAGUCUCUUUUACCAAAUACAACAUUGGCAUUUAUCACUCUACUGGAAAGGCAUAAAAGAAGAGAAAAGCAUGUGAAGUUUUAUUUCCCUUAAAAAGAACAUAUAAUGGAAAUUCUGCAAAAAGCUGGAAAUCUAGCAGUAGCAGGUGUGGAUUACAGACUAAAGAAACUACUACUGCCAUCGUAAUAGGUGGUCUGUUUAUGUAACUACCCCAGACGGGCAUGGGGCUGGAAAGCUUGAGUGUUUUCCUGUUUUCGCUUUUCUAAGCUCUUUAACAGAAAUUACCCUCCCCUGCUCACAUCCUAACAAAGACCUUGUGAAACAGGUCACAUGAACAGAUGUUAUUUCAACUGAUGAAUUAAAGCUCAAUUUACUCAAAACCACAAAAUUAAGAUUUACUGGCAUUACAAUAAAUAAGGCAGAAGGUGGUAGUGUCAGAUCUAGCUUGAAUUUCCAGUUCUAGCAACUACUUAUGAGUUUCAGAGCAUGUUACUUAACCUGCAUCUUCAUUUGUAAAAUUAGAAUAAAACAAUGUUUCCCUCUCCCUCUUCCUAAAGUUCUGUGUAUUUUGCACCACAUCUCUAGAAGUUUAACUUUGUCAGACCUGACAUCAGCCUCGAGUUGGCCUUUCCUUGGAACUUACAUCUCCAGCUUGGUCUUCUUUACCACUGCAGGGCAAGAAACUCCACUUGGCCUCCACUUGCCUGC
rnacentral:lncRNA from 1 species